UACAGAGGUCUCAAGCGUUGUUCGGAUUUAUUGGGCGUAAAGGGUGCGUAGGCGGCGCGGUAAGUCGGGUGUGAAAUCUCGGAGCUUAACUCCGAAACUGCAUUCGAUACUGCCGUGCUUGAGGACUGGAGAGGAGACUGGAAUUUACGGUGUAGCGGUGAAAUGCGUAGAUAUCGUAAGGAAGACCAGUGGCGAAGGCGGGUCUCUGGACAGUUCCUGACGCUGAGGCACGAAGGCCAGGGGAGCAGACGGG
rnacentral:rRNA from 1 species